GGGAAUCUUGCGCAAUGCGCGAAAGCGUGACGCAGCAACGCCGCGUGGGGGAAGACGGCCUUCGGGUUGUAAACCCCUUUCAGUUGGGACGAGGCUUCGCUCGUUAACAGCGGGCAGGAGUGACGGUACCUUCAGAAGAAGCCCCGGCUAACUACGUGCCAGCAGCCGCGGUAAUACGUAGGGGGCAAGCGUUGUCCGGAAUCAUUGGGCGUAAAGAGCGUGUAGGCGGUUCGGCAAGUCCGCCGUGAAAGUCCAGGGCUCAACCCUGGGAUGCCGGUGGAAACUGUCGGGCUAGAGUCCGGAAGAGGCGAGUGGAAUUCCUGGUGUAGCGGUGAAAUGCGCAGAUAUCAGGAGGAACACCAACGGCGAAGGCAGCUCGCUGGGACGGUACUGACGCUGAGACGCGAAAGCGUGGGGAGCAAAC
rnacentral:rRNA from 1 species